UCCGCUGUGGUGUAACGGCAGCACCUUGGAUUUUGGUUCCAAUGGUUCAGGUUCGAAUCCUGGCAGCGGAGCAA
rnacentral:tRNA from 1 species